rnacentral:rRNA from 1 species
GGGUGCGUAAUGCGUAUGCAAUCUACCUUUUACAGAGGGAUAGCCCAGAGAAAUUUGGAUUAAUACCUCAUAGUAUUAUUGAAUGGCAUCAUUUAAUAAUUAAAGUCACAACGGUAAAAGAUGAGCAUGCGUCCCAUUAGCUUGUUGGUAAGGUAACGGCUUACCAAGGCAACGAUGGGUAGGGGUCCUGAGAGGGAGAUCCCCCACACUGGUACUGAGACACGGACCAGACUCCUACGGGAGGCAGCAGUGAGGAAUAUUGGUCAAUGGGCGCAAGCCUGAACCAGCCAUGCCGCGUGCAGGAUGAAGCAUCUAUGGUGUGUAAACUGCUUUUGUACGAGAAGAAACACUCCUACGUGUAGGAGCUUGACGGUAUCGUAAGAAUAAGGACCGGCUAACUCCGUGCCAGCAGCCGCGGUAAUACGGAGGGUCCAAGCGUUAUCCGGAAUCAUUGGGUUUAAAGGGUCCGUAGGCGGUUUUGUAAGUCAGUGGUGAAAGCCCAUCGCUCAACGGUGGAACGGCCAUUGAUACUGCAAGACUUGAAUUAUUAGGAAGUAACUAGAAUAUGUAGUGUAGCGGUGAAAUGCUUAGAGAUUACAUGGAAUACCAAUUGCGAAGGCAGGUUACUACUAAUGGAUUGACGCUGAUGGACGAAAGCGUGGGGAGCGAACAGGAUUAGAUACCCUGGUAGUCCACGCCGUAAACGAUGGAUACUAGCUGUUCGGAGCAAUCUGAGUGGCUAAGCGAAAGUGAUAAGUAUCCCACCUGGGGAGUACGUUCGCAAGAAUGAAACUCAAAGGAAUUGACGGGGGCCCGCACAAGCGG